GACGAACGCUGGCGGCGUGCCUAAUACAUGCAAGUAGAACGCUGAAGCUUGGUGCUUGCACCGAGCGGAUGAGUUGCGAACGGGUGAGUAACGCGUAGGUAACCUGCCUGGUAGCGGGGGAUAACUAUUGGAAACGAUAGCUAAUACCGCAUAAAAUGGAUUAUCGCAUGAUAAUCCAUUGAAAGGUGCAAAUGCAUCACUACCAGAUGGACCUGCGUUGUAUUAGCUAGUUGGUGGGGUAACGGCUCACCAAGGCGACGAUACAUAGCCGACCUGAGAGGGUGAUCGGCCACACUGGGACUGAGACACGGCCCAGACUCCUACGGGAGGCAGCAGUAGGGAAUCUUCGGCAAUGGACGGAAGUCUGACCGAGCAACGCCGCGUGAGUGAAGAAGGUUUUCGGAUCGUAAAGCUCUGUUGUAAGAGAAGAACGAGUGUGAGAGUGGAAAGUUCACACUGUGACGGUAUCUUACCAGAAAGG
rnacentral:rRNA from 1 species